UACGUAGGGUGCGAGCGUUAAUCGGAAUUACUGGGCGUAAAGCGUGCGUAGGUGGUUCGUUGUGUCUGUGGUGAAAGCCCCGGGCUUAACCUGGGAAUGGCCAUGGAAACUGGCGAGCUGGAGUGUGGCAGAGGGGGGUGGAAUUCCGCGUGUAGCAGUGAAAUGCGUAGAUAUCAGGAGGAACACCGAUGGCGAAGGCAGGUCUCUGGGCUGACACUGACGCUCAUGCACGAAAGCGUGGGGAGCAAACAGG
rnacentral:rRNA from 1 species